GGGGGGACGACGCUGUCGGCAUUAUUGGGCGUAAAGAGCUCGUAGGCGGCGUGUCGCGUCUGCUGUGAAAGACCGGGGCUUAACUCCGGUUCUGCAGUGGAUACGGGCAUGCUAGAGGUAGGUAGGGGAGACUGGAAUUCCUGGUGUAGCGGUGAAAUGCGCAGAUAUCAGGAGGAACACCGGUGGCGAAGGCGGGUCUCUGGGCCUUACCUGACGCUGAGGAGCGAAAGCAUGGGGAGCGAACAGGAUUAGAUACCCUGGUAGUCCAUGCCGUAAACGUUGGGCGCUAGGUGUGGGGACUUUCCACGGUUUCCGCGCCGUAGCUAACGCAUUAAGCGCCCCGCCUGGGGAGUACGGCCGCAAGGCUAAAACUCAAAGGAAUUGACGGGGGCCCGCACAAGCGGCGGAGCAUGUUGCUUAAUUCGACGCAACGCGAAGAACCUUACCAAGGUUUGACAUCACCCGUGGACUCGCAGAGAUGUGAGGUCAUUUAGUUGGCGGGUGACAGGUGGUGCAUGGCUGUCGUCAGCUCGUGUCGUGAGAUGUUGGGUUAAGUCCCGCAACGAGCGCAACCCUUGUUCCAUGUUGCCAGCACGUAAUGGUGGGGACUCAUGGGAGACUGCCGGGGUCAACUCGGAGGAAGGUGGGGAUGACGUCAAGUCAUCAUGCCCCUUAUGUCUUGGGCUGCAAACAUGCUACAAUGGCCGGUACAAUGGGCGUGCGAUACCGUAAGGUGGAGCGAAUCCCUAAAAGCCGGUCUCAGUUCGGAUUGGGGUCUGCAACUCGACCCCAUGAAGGUGGAGUCGCUAGUAAUCGCGGAUCAGCAACGCCGCGGUGAAUACGUUCCCGGGCCUUGUACACACCGCCCGUCACGUCAUGAAAGUCGGCAACACCCGAAACUUGCGGCCUAACCCCUUGUGGGAGGGAGUGAGUGAAGGUGGGGCUGGCGAUUGGACGAUCUACAAAGGGGGGGCCCCCAUAAGAAAAGGGGUUUU
rnacentral:rRNA from 1 species